AUCAUGGCUCAGGAUGAACGCUGGCGGAGUGCCUAAUACAUGCAAGUCGAGCGGCAGCACGAGUAGUUUACUACUUGGUGGCGAGCGGCGGACGGCUGAGUAACGCGUGGGAACGUGCCCCAAAGUGAGGAAUAACUGCCCGAAAGGGUAGCUAAUGCCGCAUAUGAUCUUCGGAUUAAAGUAUUUAUUACGCUUUGGGAGCGGCCCGCGUCCGAUUAGAUAGUUGGUGAGGUAAAGGCUCACCAAGUCUACGAUCGGUAACUGGUCUGAGAGGAUGAUCAGUCAGACUGGAACUGAGACACGGUCCAGACUCCUACGGGAGGCAGCAGUAAGGAAUCUUCCACAAUGGACGAAAGUCUGAUGGAGCAACUCCGCGUGCAGGAUGAAGGCCCUCGGGUCGUAAACUGCUUUUAUGAGUGAAGAAUAUGACGGUAACUCAUGAAUAAGGGUCGGCUAACUACGUGCCAGCAGCCGCGGUCAUACGUAGGACCCAAGCGUUAUCCGGAGUGACUGGGCGUAAAGAGUUGCGUAGGUGGUUAGUAAAGUGAAUAGUGAAACCUGGUGGCUCAACCAUACAGACUAUUAUUCAAACUCACUAACUCGAGAAUGGUAGAGGUAACUGGAAUUUCUAGUGUAGGAGUGAAAUCCGUAGAUAUUAGAAGGAACACCAAUGGCGUAGGCAGGUUACUGGACCAUUUCUGACACUGAGGCACGAAAGCGUGGGGAGCGAACCGGAUUAGAUACCCGGGUAGUCCACGCCGUAAACGAUGGAUACUAGCUGUUGGAGGUAUCGACCCCUUCAGUAGCGAAGCUAACGCGUUAAGUAUCCCGCCUGUGGAGUACGGUCGCAAGACUAAAACAUAAAGGAAUUGACGGGGAGCCGCACAAGCGGUGGAUUAUGUUCUUUAAUUCGAUGAUAACCGAUGAACCUUACCAGGGUUUGACAUCCUUGGAAUUUUGCCGAAAGGCGAGAGUGCUUUAUUGAGCCAAGUGACAGAUGAUGCAUGGCCGUCGUCAGCUCGUGUCGUGAGAUGUUUGGUUAAGUCCAUUAACGAGCGCAACCCUUGUGAUUAGUUGUAUUUUUCUAAUCAGACUGUCCUGGCAACGGGGAGGAAGGGGGGGACGACGUCAAGUCAUCAUGGCCCUUACGUCCAGGGCAACACACGUGCUACAAUGGGCGGUACAGAGGGUAGCUACACAGCGAUGUGAUGCCAAUCCCAAAAAGCCGUUCUCAGUUCGGAUUGGAGUCUGCAACUCGACUCUAUGAAGCUGGAAUCGCUAGUAAUCGCGUAUCAGCUAUGACGCGGUGAAUACGUUCCCGGACCUUGUACACACCGCCCGUCAAGCCAUGGGAGUCGGGGAGACCUGAAGCAGUAGGUUAAAGACACUGUUAGGGUAAAAUCGGCGACUGGGGCUAAGUCGUAACAAGGUA
rnacentral:rRNA from 1 species